UUUUAUAUUCUGGCAUACAGAUUAGAGCUUUAACACUUUUUUGUUAAACUUGGGUAUAAGGACUCAUGUUCUAAUGUGCCUGGGACUGUCUCGUGUAGAGUUGCUAUUCUCUGCUUAAUGAGGACACCGUUGGCUCAGAUUGACCUCUACUCUAAACAUAGUCACAGUAUCAAUUCUGGACAAAAUCUAAUUAAAUAUUGAAGUGGGGUUUGUUUUUGUUUUUGUUUUUCUUGGUACCUUUCACUUACUGCUUGAGUAUUGACAGAAUAGCCCUUAGUGCUCUAAGGAACCCCAGGUGGCAUGGGAUGGAUUGCAUAGCCAAAGUACUAAGAGCUGGAAGUGGGAGAGGGUGAGCUCAGCCUCUGUAAUGUAGACAGUGACUCACCUUCCAAUGAGGCUCACUUGGCUGCCAAUCUUUCAGUUGCUUUAGUCUGCUUCUAGGGGUGAUGGAUAAUUCUGAGAGAAUGAAGUGGAGCCAAAACUAAGCCAAACGAGGAGGGCUGUGGCAUGGCUCUGGCUCUAUCUGCUUUGAUACUUUACUUCCUUUCUUGUGAAGCAAGAAGAUAAUUGGACUAUUGGUGCUAAGCCCUAUCUCAUUCUAAAAACUGACUAGUGAACCUAGGCCUGUUUAGAUGGACAGACACCGUUUGCGUCACAGCUUUGUAAACUUGGAAUUUAUUGUUGUUUUAACAAUAAACCCAGAAAUGGUUUGCCUUAA
rnacentral:lncRNA from 1 species